GGGAGGUAGUGACAAUAAAUAACAAUACAGGGUUCUUUAGGAUCUUGUAAUUGGAAUGAGUACAAUUUAAAUCUCUUAACGAGGAACAAUUGGAGGGCAAGUCUGGUGCCAGCAGCCGCGGUAAUUCCAGCUCCAAUAGCGUAUAUUAAAGUUGUUGCAGUUAAAAAGCUCGUAGUUGAACUUCGGGAUCAAUGGAUUGGUCAUGCCGUUGGUAUGUACUGGUCAUAUUGGUUCUCACCUUCUAAGGAACCAUAAUGUCAUUCAUUUGAUGUUUUGGGGAAUUAGGACUGUUACCUUGAAAAAAUUAGAGUGUUUAAAGCAGGCUAACGCUUGAAUACAUUAGCAUGGAAUAAUGAAAUAGGACAUCGCAUUCUAUUUUGUUGGUUUCUAGGAUCGAUGUAAUGAUUAAUAGGGAUAGUUGGG
rnacentral:rRNA from 1 species